CAGAGUUUUGCCCAAGCGCAGCUGAUGGGGGAGGAUGGAGUUUCUGGGAACCUCUCAGACCGCCAGUUACUGUGGCCCCAAGAAAGCCUGUGCCUUCAGGGCACUGCCCCCCGCUGGGCCCGCCCCGGAGACCCAGGAAUGUUACCAGACCUAUUCCCUGCCUGGCUACCGCUACCUGAAGUCAUGGAGACCCAGCCUCUUCUACAAGGUCUCCAACGCCCAGACCUGCGUGGACGAGAGAGCCACGUGCCGCAGCCCCCUGAGGCCCCCCACCAUCCUGCCAGCGCUCCGCUCGGCGCUCUUCUGCCGCUACAGCCCACGCGACUGGGACAAGUCCAACGAUCUGCAGAUGCGAGGGGCCGAGGCCUCACGGCUGUGGGCCAGCCGGCUGACGGGCGACUCCAUGCGGCUCAUGCAGGACAAGGACGAGCUGACGCGCCAGAUGCAGGAGGGGACCUGCCGGAACCUGGGCCAGCGGCUGUCGGACAUUGGCUUCUGGAAGUCCGAGCUGGGCUACGAGCUGGAGAGGCUUCUGAACGAGACCCACAGCAUGGAGACGGUCAAGAGGCGGCUGGAGUGUGCGGCCGAGGAACUCAACUGUCCGCUGCAGGUGGCCGUGGAGUGUCUGUACCAUCGAGAGAAAAGGAUAGGGACUGACUUGGUCCACGACAAUGUGGAGAAAAACCUUAUCCAGGAAGUGGAUUUGCUAAAAUGUUGCCAAGAACACAUGAGAAAACUAGCUCAAAGAAUUGAUAUCCAGAUGCGGGAUAACCGAGAUGCUCAGCAUGCUCUCGAGAGGGACCUUGAGGACAAAAGCUCGGCCCAGUUUAUCGAUGAGAAGUGCUAUAACCUGAGGAACACGUCAGACUGCAUCACUUUCUUCCACGGCAUGGAGAAAGUCGAUGGCACGGUCUCCGUGCCCGAGACCUGGGCCAAGUUCAGUAACGACAACAUCAGGCACUCACAGAACAUGCGGGCCAACUCCAUCCGGCUGCGGGAGGAGGCUGAGAACCUCUUGGAGACCUUGUCAGACCAGAUGUGGAAGCAGUUUACUAACACCAACCUGGCCUUCAGCGCCCGCAUCUCCGAGGUGACAGACGUGAAGAAUAAGCUCCAGACACAGCUGGCUAAGACACUGCAGGAGAUCUUCCAGGCUGAGAAUACCAUCAUGCUUCUGGAAAGGUCCAUCAUGGCCAAGGAGUGCCCACUGAAGGUGGCGCAGACGAGGCUGGAGUGCCGGACCUGGCGCCCCAACGUGGAGCUGUGCAGGGACAUCCCACAGUUCAAGCUCGUGAACGAGGUAUUCACCAUCGACGACACCUUGCAGACCCUGAGGCUGAGGCUGCGGGAGACCCAGGACACGCUGCAGCUGCUGGAGCACAGUGUGUAGACCACGGGAUCUGAAGACCGGAUACUGGAGCCGAGAUUGGCCAGAACCCAGCUGUCACUUAGGAGCUGGGUGGCCUUGAACGGGCUCCCAGCCGGAGCACCCUCAUGUACAAAAUGAGAAAGGAGAUCAAGUCCUAAAGAGGUGUUAAAGACGACCUACCAUCCUGUGGAGACUGUCCUUGAGAGCGACCAGAGCAUCCUUGGGAAAACAGGGGUUGGAUCCAUAACUCCCGGGUUUAAACUGUUCAUGGGCUUCCUGCUGCGCGGCGGAUAAAUCCAAACUCCUACCACAGCCCAAAGUAAACUCCUUGAGGGCAGGGACCUUGUCUGGCCUUUUUGCUGUGAGUUCUUGGGCCUGGAAAACGCUCAGUAACCUUUGGCUGAAUAAAUGAACAAAAGAAAUCGACAUCGUCUCCAAGCACGUAGUGCGUGCAAGUGACAGCUUGAGAAGCCGGAUGAACUUUCUCUGCAAAGCCCAGGGUGUGGCUGGGAGGGAAGACAGAAGGAGUUUGGCCCCAGCGGGUCUUCCUGGGUUCUCCUACCCCUCCGGAGUGCACUCGCAUCCAGCCCUGGGUGUGUUGAAUGGGCGGCCACUCACACAACUGCAAAGAGGAAAGCUUCAGGUUUAUUCCAGAACAAGUUUUCCUGAAUUCGGUCAUCUCCGUAUCACGAUCAUCACCACCAUUUCUGCACCUCCUGCCUGUGCUGUUAGUUAAGAGCUCGUUAAACUCUG